UCAAGUCCAAGGUCUACUGUGCAUAUGUUCAGACCAAUGCUAUGAAGAAAUGGCUCUCUUCCUGCAAGCUUGAACCUGGGUGCCAACCUGAGCACAUGGCUGUCAGUUCUAGGGCAGCUGGCUACAAGUAGUACUGAGUGACUCAGCAGCAUCACUGGCCUAACAGGACCCUGGAGGCACCUAUGCCCGGAGAACAUGGAUGCACAGAGAGGGGAAGAGACUUGCCCACGGCCCUGUAGAGGCAGAAAUGGGAUUCGAAGCCCAGUGGGCCCAUACAGAGCGGAUGAGAAAGUGUCCAGGCCAGUCAUGGAGGAGCAGGCUGCCCAGAAACAAGCACUGCACGCCUACCAAAAUGGAUGCAGCCCCCUCCCUGGACCACCGAUGCUUUGGGCCAUAGCACAGGGAUCAGAGGCUUCCUGUGAGGAGGGAGGAGCACAAGGAGCUCUGUGACCUGAGGCUGGAGGAAGAGGAGGUGCUUGGAAGCAAAAGCUGGAAGAAGUGGCAGGACAAGACCCAGGGGGUGGAAGAGCCUGUGACCAUUCCAGCAAGAGAAUUCUGGAAGCCAUUAGGGAAAGUGGCUGGCUGAGUCCUAAAUCUUGGGUUAAGGUGAUAAGGAGAGCCAGACUUGGCAUGGAGAUGAUGCCACCCUAGGCUCCAGCUGCCUUUGUGGCCUGUGACCCUCCAAGACACUUGAAACAUCAGUCCUAUCUGGCCCUUCUCCCCUGGUUUGGUUGGCAGGUAGACAUCUGUGUAGCCUGACGGUGUCACCAACCACAGAGGCUCUGGCCUGUUUCCAAUUCAGGGUUCAGGAUCCCUAGGGGAUCUGGGCCAG